CCCUACUAAGAGUGCCUGCCUAGCUGCGAAAGUCCAGCUAUGCACCCUUCCGAAGAGGUUCCAGCCCACAAAAUCUGCAUCUAUCCAUAUCCUGGUUCUCUGAGAAACCCUCACAAGCACGGAGUCUUUCUCCAGACAAACUCCUACAGGAAAAUCUAUCCAGCACCUGGGUGAUCAUUGCGGAAGCAGCAAGGAGACCAACAUGACCUAGAAACACUCCCCGUGGUUGUCCUGCUGGCACCCCAUCCUCUCCCUGACUCCGGCUGCCUCCAGCUGCCCCUCUACAGUCUACUGUCUUAAUCUACCUCUGGGGGAUGUGGGCGCCCAGGGGAGGGCAGGGUCUUCACAUGCUGUUCGGCCGAUCUCAGGAUGACUUUCUA
rnacentral:lncRNA from 1 species